GAAACGACUGCUAAUACCGCAUAAGCCCACGGAUCCGCAUGGAUCUGCGGGAAAAGGAUUUAUUCGCUUCAGGAUGGACUCGCGUCCAAUUAGCUAGUUGGUGAGGUAACGGCCCACCAAGGCGACGAUUGGUAGCCGGACUGAGAGGUUGAACGGCCACAUUGGGACUGAGACACGGCCCAGACUCCUACGGGAGGCAGCAGUGGGGGAUAUUGCACAAUGGGGGAAACCCUGAUGCAGCGACGCCGCGUGGAGGAAGAAGGUUUUCGGAUUGUAAACUCCCGUCGUUAGGGACGAUAAUGACGGUACCUAACAAGAAAGCACCGGCUAACUACGUGCCAGCAGCCGCGGUAAAACGUAGGGUGCAAGCGUUGUCCGGAAUUACUGGGUGUAAAGGGAGCGCAGGCGGACCGGCAAGUUGGAAGUGAAAACUAUGGGCUCAACCCAUAAAUUGCUUUCAAAACUGCUGGCCUUGAGUAGUGCAGAGGUAGGUGGAAUUCCCGGUGUAGCGGUGGAAUGCGUAGAUAUCGGGAGGAACACCAGUGGCGAAGGCGACCUACUGGGCACCAACUGACGCUGAGGCUCGAAAGCAUGGGUAGCAAACAGGAUUAGAUACCCUGGUAGUCCAUGCCGUAAACGAUGAUUGCUAGGUGUUGGAGGAUUGACCCCUUCAGUGCC
rnacentral:rRNA from 1 species